AUUAAACUAAGAAGUAUGGCCCAUACUGACCGUUCGCAAAACCCCGCCCUCGAACGGUCCUCGUCCAAUCCUAGCUCAGCAACUGUAACUAAGGAGAAGGACCCCUGUCAAACAUUGCGAUUUCAGCAAGAUGGUGAAACGAUGCGCCUACGGCACCUGCAAAUUUGACACCAGGUACCCCAAAAGUUUAGAGGGAGGGGCCGUUUUUUCCGCCUUUCCAAAGCCCAAGACCCAAGCGGAAAGAUGCCGACAAUGGAUUAAGCAGUGUGGGAGACCUCACUCACAGCUAAAUGCCUCGAAGAUUAAUAAGCAUAGCUACAUAUGUCUGCUCCAAGGUAACAGCGUUUCCCAACACCUGGGAGCAGGAGGAAGAAGAGAAACGGGUCAGCGCCGGCUCCUGACAAUAUAAAUGAAACAAAGGCAUCAAGCGAAUCCUCGCUGAGCCGAGAUGUAUUUACUGAAGCUGUCAGGACAGAGAGACGGAGCCCAAACCACCGGUGUGUUACUAUGUAGCCUGUCUAGCAGCUGUUUAAUUUACACUCUUAACUUUUUUUGUAGGUGUCAGAUUGGUGAUGGAGAGAGUGUGUAUGUCUGUAUAUGUGUGUGCUGCUUGUGUUUAGCUAUAGUAGUAUUAUUAUAAUAAUAUUAUUAUUAUUAUUAUUAUUAUUAUUAAUAAUACAAUACAAUAAUACUUUUGAGCAAGUCGGUUUAGAGCUGUGAAAAACUAUCCCUACUUGCAAAGUGUUUAAGGGCAAUAGUUGACGCAUGAUGCAAUGUUUGUCAAUUAUUUUCCUCGAUUAAUCAAUUGGUUGUUUGGUCUAUAAAAUGUCAGAAAAUGGUGAAGUAGUCGAUCAGUGUUUUCCAAAGCCCAAGACAACGUUCUCAAAUCUCUUUUGUCCACAAUUCAAAGAUAUUCAGUUUACUGUCAAAGAGGAGUGAAGAAACUAGAACACAUUUACAUUUAAGAAGCUGGAAUCAGAGAAUUCUGACCUUUUUUCCAUAAAAAAUGACUCAAACCGAUGACUCGAUUAUCAACAUAGCUGCCGAGUAGUAGUCGUCUUCGCAGCUCUAAUCCUGGCUGAGGUCUGUCAGUGUUUGGACAGAUGUAUGUACGGUAUAUUACCCUUUUCUUAUGUGUUUGUUGUUAAGUGAUGCUCUUAUUGAGACUGUAUGCUAUGCCCACACUGCUGAGCAAUCAGAUUUCUAGAGUCUCAUUUUGUCUUACUAAAAAACUAAACAAUUUCUUUAUAUCUUAUUGUCUCUAAAUGUAGCACUUGAAGCAGUUCAGCAUAUUUGAUAAAUUUGAUGUACUUACAUGAUUUUUGCAAUUUUUGGGUUGUAUGCACAUGGCUGAAUGCAGUUAUUGUAAGUUGUUUUGGAUAGAAGCAUCAGCUAAAUAAUUGUAAUGUAAUGAGUUGUGUCUCUGUAGAAUCAGUAGGGGAUUUGUCACACUGUUGAAAAGCUCUAACUGUUAGGACUGUGGUCAUAUUGUUUCUUUGGUCUGCUGUGUGUGCCCUGUGUUUUUUCUGUUGUGUUCAAUUUCAAAUGCAAAUAGGUGUGUGCCAUAGCCGUAAGAGGAUUGGUGGAGAGGUUUCAGGCCCGAACCUGUGAUUGGCUGCAGCUGGGGAAACCACCUGUUAUAAGGAGCCAAGAUGGCGCUUGUUUGUGGGCAGCAUGAUGUAUUCCUCUUCCUCCGCAAAUGGCCACACUAUUGAUUUGCGUUAGACUGUUUGUGGCUAUUUCGGAGACGGGGAAGAUAUGGGGCCUUUUCAUGUUGCGUUUACCAACUCUGAAUGGCCUUGCUGCAGCAGCAUGGUUUCGUCCUGCAGAAGUCAUGAUGUGAAGGUGGCAAGGCCACAGAAAGGCCGGGCGUCUACGCUCCAGGAAAGUACGACCUGGCUGACUUCUGUGUAGAAGCAGUGGAGCCCAGGCUCGGGCACAUCGCCAAGGGGGACCUCCUGAUAGGACCGGUCUCCUCUGGGGUCCCCAGCAACUGCUGCAGCCUGGUCUGCAAACUCCUGGAGAGGGCCAACCAGAGCUACAGCUCCCCUGCUCCCUUUUGGCAAGUUGGGACAGACUGUCGCUAUGCAGCCUCAGUGGAUGCCAUCUGGAAGAAGAAGAACUUUCUCCAGACGAGCUGAAGGGACAUCUUCUCUGAGCUGAAGCUCUGAGAGGCAGGAAUGAGCCUCCCCUACCGCUGAGCUCAAGAUGAGAGUGGCUAGUGUGGUGGAGGCCCUGGUGGCUCACUUGGGUCUGAGCAACCAGCGAGUGACUCUGGUGUCCCAUGACUAUGGAGACACUGUGGCCCUGGGGCUGCUCUUCAGGUAUGUGCAUGAUGAAUUGCUGACUGCCCUUCCCUCUCUGUUAUUUAUUUUUUACUCCUCAUGCACCCAAACCAGGACUGACCAAAACCGUACAGGACACCUCAUCAUUAACAGCCUGUGUCUUUCUAAUGGAGGUGCAGUCUGUUGUCUUUGGUCAUGUGUAUAUAUAUUAUUUUUUACACAACUAGGGUUAAGACGGCACCUUACACAUCAAACUUCAUACUAAUAAACCCCCCACCCAUUAAAGCAUGGUGUGUAGUGCGACUCCAAAAUGACCCCCUCUUGUUAACCCUUCUUAAAGCCAUCAUGCUGACCCCUGCAGGUCAUUUUGGAUCUCCCAGUGUCAUGGUGCAGCCCACAUCAGCAGCCAAACCCUGCACAGAACGGAGGACACAUCCAAUGUCAACUACAUCCCUCCGCCCCAAGAACCCCAGGAUUUCAAACACACUCAGUCAUUCAUGCUCUAAGAAGCUGGCCUUCCUCUGAGAACCCAUCACCCUCGCAAUAAGGUGCCAAACACUGGAUCAACUGAUUAACUUUCUCUCUGGACUCUGAAUGAGCUCUCCAUCUUCCAAUUCAUGCUAAUUUCAAUCUUCUUCCUGUACCGCUCCUUUUGGAUGGCAAGACUUCUUACUCUCUUGCUUUGCACUAUGUGGGUUGUGUGAUGUUCUGCCCCCCUGGUGGUCAUGUUGAAAUUCCAAUUGAUCCUUCUGAAUGAUCCAGGGAUGACUUGAGCUUUCUACAUACACACUUUGUUUCUUCCCUCAGUGAAUGGCCAAUGUUUUCAACUACUUUUUUUUUUUUUUUUUUAUACCAAAGACUGUGUAAUUAAAUUUUCUUGUAAAAGAGGGGAAUUCUUCUGUAAGCCAUAAAGAAAGCAUUGCUUUUAAUCUACUCAAACAUAAAUGUGGUUUACCUCAGCAUCUGCCAAUGUUUUGUCUUCUGUAACACCGGGGUUCCUGGGGGCCAGAGUGCCACACAAGACCCUUGUGAUGUUAGUAACUGACAAAGCCAGUCCAGGAGUGUGUGUGUGUACCUUGCCUUACUUUUUCUGUCUUUAUAAUUUGUGCCACUGUUUAUCAAUGUUUUAUCAAAAAUGGUGUGUCUGUUUUUAGACAGUGUGUGUAUGGAUUGUUCAGAGUUGACUUCUGUCUGUAUAGUUUCACCUGUACUAAUGUCUUGGGGCUUCCUGCUGCUCUGGUCUAAAAUCAUCUGGC